CCUACGGGUGGCAGCAGUGAGGAAUAUUGGUCAAUGGACGCAAGUCUGAACCAGCCAUGCCGCGUGCAGGAAGACGGCUCUAUGAGUUUUAAACUUCUUUUUUAGGGGGGUAAAUCCCGAUACGUGUAUCGGGUUGAAAGUAUCGUACGAAUAAGGAUCGGCUAACUCCUUUCCAGCAGCCGCGGUAAUACGGAGGAUUCAAGCGUUAUCCGGGUUUAUUGGGUUUAAAGGGUGCUUAGGCGGUUCGGUAAGUUAGAGGUGAAAUCCCGGGGCUCAACUCCGGCACUGCCUUUGAUACUGUCGGGCUAGAGUUUAGUUGAGGUAGGCGGAAUGUAUGGUGUAGCGGUGAAAUGCAUAGAGAUCAGACAGAACACCGAUUGCGAAGGCAGCUUACCAAACUACGACUGACGUUGAGGCACGAAAGCGUGGGGAGCAAACAGGAUUAGAUACCCGGGUAGUC
rnacentral:rRNA from 1 species